UACGUAGGGUGCAAGCGUUGUCCGGAAUUAUUGGGCGUAAAGAGCUCGUAGGCGGUUUGUCGCGUCUGCUGUGAAAACCCGAGGCUCAACCUCGGGUCUGCAGUCGAUACGAGCAAACUAGAGUGUUGCAGGGGAGACUGGAAUUCCUGGUGUAGCGGUGAAAUGCGCAGAUAUCAGGAGGAACACCGGUGGCGAAGGCGGGUCUCUGGCCCGGUACUGACGCUGAGGUGCGAAAAGCGUGGGGGAGCAAACAGG
rnacentral:rRNA from 1 species